rnacentral:lncRNA from 1 species
UUCCCCAGGCCAGGAAGCGGUAGGCAGGGGCCAGGGAUGGAUUUUAAAGGUAAAGUUCUCAGACCCAAUGGGAACAUGAACUGGUAAACUCUCCUCAACUCCCAAAGAAAAAGGACUUGGGUCUUUGUUGGUUUCUGCCCACAGCCAGAGAACUCAAAGUCUGAAACUAGAUUCUCUCGAAAAGACAGUCACAGAAACCUUCAGAGAUGGAGUGUGAGAAAAGCCCACCCUUCUGCCAGCCUGUGAUUUAGAAAGGUGCCUUCAUUCAACAGACAUUGACUGAGCACAUACGGGCCAGAGACGGUUCUUAACAGCGGGAGAAUAGGACGGAAAAGGCAGACAGGAACCCUCAGUCCCGAGGUUUCCAUUCUAGUGGGCCUUUAACUCUCCGACUCUCAGAGCUAACAGACACCUCUGAUACUCUCUAACUCUACCUCAGGAAACGCAAGCCGAGAAGGAGACUUUACAGUAGGCCGUGGACUAGGGAUUAACAUAAAAACAACAAUGAUAAAUCUCAUUUAAACUUCACCAAUGGAGGUAAAACCAAACCACUCCUAUUUUACAGAUGUGAGAAGAGAGGCCCAAAGAGCUCAAGGAAUUUGCCCUCUAUCAUAUCCCCAGCAGAUGGAGAGGAUUCAAACCCAGAAUUCUUAAGCAGUGCCUGGGAGUUCUUCCACAAUCUUAACAAUUACCCUCCACCACCCCUUGGGCCCUCUGUCCCCAGGAGCCUGGCCAGCCAAGACUCACAUCCUCAGGCCUGAGAACCGGGAGGACGCUGGAGAAAAGCUGCCCUGUGAAUCUUUCUUUGGCUGUCCAGGCUCCCCUUGACUCC